AGUACCUUGUCCUGGCCCACGGCUUCGGCACGGACCAAUCCGCGUGGCAGCGCGUGCUCCCUUACUUCACCCGCAACUACAGCGUCAUUCUCUACGACCUCGUCUGCGCCGGCAGCGUCAACCCCGACCACUUCGACUACCGCCGUUAUACCACCCUCGACGCCUACGUCGACGACCUCCUCAACAUCCUCGACGCCCUCCGCGUCCCCCGCUGCGCCUACGUCGGCCACUCCAUCUCCGCCAUGAUCGGCAUGCUCGCCUCCAUCCGCCGCCCGGACCUCUUCUCCAAACUCAUCCUCAU
rnacentral:lncRNA from 1 species